rnacentral:rRNA from 1 species
AACGAACGCUGGCGGCAUGCCUAACACAUGCAAGUCGAACGAGACCUUCGGGUCUAGUGGCGCACGGGUGCGUAACGCGUGGGAAUCUGCCUUUCGGUUCGGAAUAACUCGGGGAAACCCGUGCUAAUACCGGAUGAUGUCGCAAGACCAAAGAUUUAUCGCCGAAAGAUGAGCCCGCGUAGGAUUAGCUAGUUAGUGAGGUAAAGGCUCACCAAGGCGACGAUCCUUAGCUGGUCUGAGAGGAUGAUCAGCCACACUGGGACUGAGACACGGCCCAGACUCCUACGGGAGGCAGCAGUGGGGAAUAUUGGACAAUGGGCGAAAGCCUGAUCCAGCAAUGCCGCGUGAGUGAUGAAGGCCCUAGGGUUGUAAAGCUCUUUUACCCGGGAUGAUAAUGACAGUACCGGGAGAAUAAGCCCCGGCUAACUCCGUGCCAGCCGCCGCCGUAACAC